rnacentral:lncRNA from 1 species
UCCCACACGGCACCCCGGCGCGCUAGCCCAUCCAUCCAUCAGCCCUUCCGCCCGGGUUUCUCCCCCAUCUCGCAGCCAGCUGAGAUCCUAUGCGGGCUGCAGGCCCCUCCAGGCUGACAGCUCAGAGCCCUCUCACUCACCCCGGCCUCCCUUUCCCUCCAGGAACCCCGCUCCCGGUAGAGCUCGGCGCGGUACGUCUAGGCUCUCGCUGCCCUCUGUCCGGCUGGCCCUAUCUCUCCCUUCUCCGUUUCUCCACCUCUGCCUCUCUUCCCCAUCCCCACUCGCGCGCCCUUUCUCCCCAAUACUCCUGUCCCCUUUUCCUCGGCAGUCUGUCCGUCCGAGUCCCCUCCCCCAGCCUCUUCCCGUCCCUCUCCGUCCCCUCCAGUAGCAGUCUCCCCGCGCCUCCUCUCUCCUGGAUCUCGAGAUUCGGAAGAGCAUGGAAGGGAAGGAGAGUGAGAGGCAAAGAAGAGGGGGGGAAAAAAGGAAAAAAAAAAAA